GAUGAACGCUAGCGGGAGGCUUAACACAUGCAAGUCGAGCGGGAUUAGCAGCAAUGCUAUGAGAGCGGCGCACGGGUGCGUAACGCGUAUGCAACCUGCCUUAUACAGGGGAAUAGCUCAUGGAAACGUGGAUUAAUGUCCCAUAGGAUCACGGUAUCGCAUGGUAUUGUGAUUAAAACUGAGGUGGUAUAAGAUGGGCAUGCGUCUGAUUAGGUAGUUGGUGAGGUAAUGGCUCACCAAGCCGACGAUCAGUAGGGGUUCUGAGAGGAUUACCCCCCACACUGGUACUGAGACACGGACCAGACUCCUACGGGAGACAGCAGUGAGGAAUAUUGGUCAAUGGCCGGAAGGCUGAACCAGCCAUCCCGCGUGCAGGAUGACGGCCCUAUGGGUUGUAAACUGCUUUUGUACCUGAGGAAACCUGGUUACGUGUAACCAGUUGCCGGUAAGGUAUGAAUAAGCAUCGGCUAACUCCGUGCCAGCCGCCGCCGUAA
rnacentral:rRNA from 1 species